UACGUAGGUGGCAAGCGUUGUCCGGAUUUACUGGGCGUAAAGAGCGCGCAGGCGGUCGAGUAAGUCGAAUGUGAAAGCCCCCGGCUUAACUGGGGAGGGUCAUUCGAUACUGUUCGACUUGAAGGCAGGAGAGGGCAGCAGAAUUCCCGGCGUAGUGGUGAAAUGCGUAGAUAUCGGGAGGAAUACCAGUGGCGAAGGCGGCUGCCUGGCCUGUUCUUGACGCUGAGGCGCGAAAGCUGGGGGAGCAAACGGG
rnacentral:rRNA from 1 species